rnacentral:misc_RNA from 1 species
GUAGGUGGCACGUUUGCCUGCGCAUAGCCCCCGCAGCGACACUAAACAACUGCGCCAGUCGCCCCUGAUUUCGGGGCCGGCAACGCCAUCACUGUGCGCUGGGAGACCCGCUCUGGGGCUGACCAGCAGCUUUGGGAGGCCUCGCUCGAGGCCCCCCGAGUCCACAGAUCAGACGAUAGCGGCCACUCCGGUGGUUGAGAUAUGACCGGCCUCGGCUGUCACCAGCUAGAGACUUCGCGGAACCUGCGGAAGGAUCAUUACCGAGAAGGGGCCUCGCCGCCCCGGGGGCUUCGGCCUCCAACUCUUUACCCUUUGUCUUCCUUACCUUUGUUGCUUUGGCGAGCCUCGGGGGGCCCCCCGGCUGGCUUUCGGGCCGGUGAGCGCUCGCCAGAGGCCCAUCCAAUCCUGUUCAAAACAUAGUGUCCGAGUACAAAACGCAAUAGUAAAAACUUUCAACAACGGAUCUCUUGGUUCCA